GAUGAACGCUAGCUACAGGCUUAACACAUGCAAGUCGAGGGGUAACGAGAGGGAAGCUUGCUUUCCUUGUCGACGACCGGCGCACGGGUGAGUAACGCGUAUCCAACCUGCCCCCAACUAGGGAAUAACCUUGCGAAAGUAAGACUAAUACCCUAUAAUUUCCUCAGAUGUCAUCUGACGAGGAAUAAAGAUUUAUCGGUUGUGGAUGGGGAUGCGUCUGAUUAGCUUGUUGGCGGGGUAACGGCCCACCAAGGCAACGAUCAGUAGGGGUGCUGAGAGGAAGGUCCCCCACAUUGGAACUGAGACACGGACCAAACUCCUACGGGAGGCAGCAGUGAGGAAUAUUGGUCAAUGGGCGGAAGCCUGAACCAGCCAAGUAGCGUGCAGGAUGACGGCCCUAUGGGUUGUAAACUGCUUUUAUACAGGAAUAAAGUUAGCCACGUGUGGUUAUUUGUAGGUACUGUAUGAAUAAGGACCGGCUAAUUCCGUGCCAGCCGCCGCAGUAA
rnacentral:rRNA from 1 species